rnacentral:tRNA from 1 species
GGAAAGAUAGUUAAUCAUCAUAACAAUUAACUUGCAAUUAAUAGUAGUUGCUCAAUCCCAACCCUUUCCA